GCAGGGAUAGCUCAGUCAGUAGAGCACGAGACUCUUAAUUUCAGGAUGAUGGGUUCCAACCCCAUAUUGGGCA